rnacentral:rRNA from 1 species
GAUGAACGCUGGCGGCGUGCCUAAUACAUGCGAGUCGAGCGAACAGACGAGGAGCUUGCUCCUCUGACGUUAGCGGCGGACGGGUGAGUAACACGUGGAUAACCUACCUAUAAGACUGGGAUAACUUCGGGAAACCGGAGCUAAUACCGGAUAAUAUAUUGAACCGCAUGGUUCAAUAGUGAAAGACGGUUUUGCUGUCACUUAUAGAUGGAUCCGCGCCGCAUUAGCUAGUUGGUAAGGUAACGGCUUACCAAGGCAACGAUGCGUAGCCGACCUGAGAGGGUGGUCGGCCGCACUGGAACUGAGACACGGUCCAGACUCCUACGGGAGGCAGCAGUAUGGAAUCUUCCGCAAUGGGCGAAAGCUUGACGGAGCAACGCCGCGUGAGUGAUGAAGGUCUUCGGAUCGUAAAACUCUGUUAUUAGGGAAGAACAAAUGUGUAAGUAACUAUGCACGUCUUGACGGUACCUAAUCAGAAAGCCACGGCUAACUACGUG